rnacentral:rRNA from 1 species
AUUGAACGCUGGCGGCAGGCCUAACACAUGCAAGUCGAACGAGUGGCGGACAGGUGAGUAAUGUCUGGGAAACUGCCCGAUGGAGGGGGAGAACAAAUGGAAACGGUGGCGAAUACCGCAUACCAUCGGAUGUGCCCAGAUGGGCUUAGCUUGUAGGUGAGGUAACGGCUCACCUAGGCGACGAGCCCUAGAUGUUCUGAGAGGAGGAACAGCCACACUGGAACUGAGACACGGUCCACACUCCUACGGGAGGCAGCAGUGGGGAAUAUUGCACAAGGGGCGCAAGCCUGAUGCAGCCAUCGCGCGUGUAUGAAGAAGGCCUUCGGGUUGUAAAGUACUUUCAGCGUGGAGGCGUUACCCGCAGAAGAAGCACCGGCUAACUCCGGGCCAGCAGCCGCGGUAAUAC